GACGAACGCUGGCGGCGCGCUUAACACAUGCAAGUCGAGCGAAGCGGCGAACGGGUGAGUAACGCGUGAGGAACCUGCCUCUCACAACGGGAUAGCCUCGGGAAACCGGGCUUAAUACCGUAUGGUGAGAGUUGGCGUCGCGUCUGAUUAGUUAGUUGGUGGGGUAACGGCCUACCAAGACGACGACGCGUAACCGGCCUGUGAGGGUGAACGGUCACAUUGGAGCUGGGACACGGUCCAAACUCUUACGAGAGGCAGCAGUGGGGACUCUUGAACAAUGGGGGGAAGCCUGCUGCAGCGACGCCGCGAGGGCGUUGAAGUUUUGAGAAACGUAAAGCUCUGUCCUAGGGGGAGCGGUACCAUAAGAGGAAGCCCCGGCUAACUACGUGCCAGCAGCCGCGGUAAUAC
rnacentral:rRNA from 1 species